UGUUUUGACAAGAGUGACUUAGAGAGUGCCCUAUGGGGCAGAGGGCUGGGAUGCUGAGGAGGUUGGACCCAUGAGCAGAUGUGCUGGUGACCUCUGCAGCUGGGUGAGGGUGCAGGAGUGAGUCCUUGUACAUCUCCCAGCUGCCUGGCAGUCAACAGGGAGGAGAGUGGUGCUGCUGAAUCACGUGGGAGUCUGUCCCAGCAUUUGUUCUGAGAGUCUAGCUUCUUCAUGCAAAGUAUCUCUGGCUUGGAGAGGACCAGCGUUGUCAGAGGAAUUCAAAUGUUGGCUGUCCGAGCUGAGCUAAAGCCCAGGAUGGUCGUGGCACAAGGGUACUACAAGCCUUCUCCCAGCCCAGUUGGUGGUGUUUUAGGAGGAUCUUCAUCCCCGUUUGGUGUGAG